CCGAGUUUACAACUCCCAAACCCUUAUGUGAACCUUACCCAUCGUUGCUUCGGCGGGAGAGCCCCGGCGCCCUCGGGCCCGGAACCAGGCGCCCGCCGGAGACCCCAAACUCCAUGUUUUAACGAGUAUCGUCUGAGUGGUAUAAACAAAUACAUCA
rnacentral:misc_RNA from 1 species